UGUGUCUGCACUGUAAUGAUGGGAAAGGGC
rnacentral:piRNA from 1 species